UUUAGAAGAAAUAUUUCUACUUAUCCAGGGAGCUGUGAUUUUAUUUCUCUCAACAGCAGCUUAGGGUUUUGUAAAUACAAGUUAAUGAUUCAUAUACAAAUUUAGAUCCAGGUUUGAGUUGAGUUGAUAUUAACUAAAUGAACUUGAUGCUGGGGAAAAAAAUCAUAGUUUGUCCAGCUGCUAGGAAAUCAAACAACAUCGGAAGCUGAAAGCCUGUAAUUACUUCAUUUGGAAAGCAAACCUGAGGAGAAGGAAGAAGCUGAGUUCUGUGUGAUCCUGUGGAUGGAUGUUUAGCACGCUUUGUUCCUUGGUGAGAGGAUAAAUGUUGGAUUCAAAAAGAAAAAGAGAACUGGCACCAAGGAGCCCUUAUAGGGUAAUGGAACUAAGAAGCCUCACACUGCACGUGCAUGCUGGAGGUAUUUGAGCAAUGGAUUAGGACUGUGUCAGAAUCAGUGAGACACUAAUGAAAAUUAUUCAAUAUGAGUGACUUGAGAAGGUGAAGGCUGAUCCAACUCUCUUUACAGGAAGUAGAAAAUUCUCGUGUACUGGAAGAUAAUUCCUCCACAUCUCCUGCUCCACGUCUAUCUUCAUAAUUGACUCUUCCAAAGAAGGCUCAGAGUCCUCAGGGAUUUAUUGCAAACCCAUGAGGAAUCACCAUAAUUAACUUCAUAUUUAUAGAAGACACUAAGAGCCACAGAGGUUAAGUAAUUCUUUGUCAGAUGACCAAUGUCCCUUUUGGGGCGUCUUUGGCUUCAAGUGCCUGCUGUACCCAGUUCUUCCCUGGUUUCAAUGGAAGCCCUAUGGGACAAGGGAAGAUGCAUAGAAUAGAGGAGGUGAGCCUGAUACAUGUGACUAUUGCCCUCUCUCCAUAUCAUUUGCAACUCAUGUUUGCCAUGUUCCAUGAGCACAGAAUUCCAGGGGAACCAGGAUGCACAGGAGCUCAGAGAGACUGAAAGCAAGUACAGAGGGUCCUGUAUUCACAUUGUGCAAGAAAUCUGCCAAUUAAUGAAGCCAGCCCUAUUGAAAGGGAAUCAUUACCAGAUACCAAAGCACAGGCAACACUAUCACCAAUCCUGUUGCACUUUUCCCAAAUCAGAUGCUCAGGUAUAAUACAAGUGACAGAAAUAGUCAAACUGGAUCUUCAAACCACAAACAUCAAGCUAUCUGAAAACUUUUGAACUUCAUCUGGUCCAAGCACCUGAAAACACUUCAAUUAUAGGCUCCAACUGAGCUUUGGAUUUCUAGGUCAAUAGAAUUUCUGUUCAAAAAGAUUAAACAAAUUAAUAUUAGUAUGAAUUUUAUGCAAUUCUAAAAUAAGAAAAAAUUAAAACACCCAUACAUCCUUUAUUCUCAAUACAACUUUUAUAGAAAAGGAAAUAAAUCUAAUAGUUCUGAAACUUUGAGAGCUUUCUGUGUUUCCCAAGCAAAUGUGUUUGGGCUGCUACUCUUAUAUCCUUAUGUUGUCUCUUGGAUUCAUUUUUUACUAAUUCCUAUAAGACUCUGAAUAUAGUAAUGUGGUAGAUACCUUAAGCCAUCUCCUUGCCUUGAAGCUAAAAGAUUGUUCAGAGUUACUCUAAUAUUUCUUUUUAAAAAAAAUUUUAAUUGAUUUUUUAAAAAAUAAAUGAUAGCAGAAUACAAUACAAUUCCUAUUACACAUAUACAGCACAAUAUUUCAUAUCUCUGGUUGUAAUAUAAAGUAUGUUCAUACCAAUUCGAGGCUUCAUACAUGUACUUUGAAUAAUGAUGUCUAAGAAGUAUAGAUAGUAUUAAUACCAAACAAUAUAGUCCUUCACUGCUCUUUCUAGAAAUGUCUUGUGUUACUAGAAAUUAAGUGGGCCCAGUUGGUGCCAUAACACUUAGGCAUAAUUCUCCCACAGGGCAGUGGGGGGGGGCGUGUAAUUUUAAGGAAAAUGCCCCAGCCAUUGAUUGUCUGUACCUGUACCUUCUUUUCCAGGGAAAGAUAUUCAUUCUGUGACUAAUAAUUACCAUAAGGCUUGAUAUAUAAAUUACCAAAGGAGAGAUGGCCCAUUGCUUCUAAUUCACAAUAAGGGGGAAAAUCUCUUAAAAUUGGGUUUUGUGGUAGGAAAUACAACAGAGAGGGACAACCAAUAACUGCAUAUGAAAGUGGAUACACUGGUGUUUCCCAUUUUGCAUCUUGUCCAUCACUGGGUCUUUGCCUUCCCUGAUUACAUGUUCUACACCACAGUGAUUUGAGGCAACGCAGUCCUCCUCACUUUAAUCAUGAGUUUAAUGAGAGAAAAAAAAAACAGUUCCCCAAAAUAUAAUCUAUGUUGCAGACUCCACCCCAGCUAAUAUACACAGUUGUAGGUAUCUAAUUGUGAUCUGUUUGCAAUGGUCAGGAACAGGAGUUGUGUUCUGUGAAAGUGGCAACCAACUCCAGAUCAGAUGAGCUCCCCUGACAGCCCCAGACGGAACAUCAGAGCAAGCCGAGGUGACUUCUGUGUGACAGUGACCAGGGAAGCAUCUGCCAGAGGGGUCAGGUCCCUGCAUUGUGUGCUCAUUUUCUAUUCAAUUGUUAAACCAGUUGUUUCAUUUUCUUUCUUAGAAAAUGUGACCCAUUAUCCAAACUAUAUUCAGAUUGAACAGCACAGAAUUGAGCAUCAAAAAUAUCUGGGUUUGGGACUUUUUUCUUUGUGAUUCCUCACAAAGGAAGGAAAGGCACUGCUAACCAUUUCUUUUACUUGGCAGCCACUCACCUCAUAGUUUUUUCUGAAUGGUCAUCUCAUAGGACACAGUGAUAGAUGCAUUUUUGACAUUAUCUUUCAUUCUCAAAAUAAUACUCCAUGAGAUGAAGAUAUGAGUGUAACUUAUGAACAAGACAGUGUAGUGUACAAUAUAGUCCUUCACUGAUCUUUCUAGAAAUGUCUUUCAUUGAUGUGUACUAUUCCAUGCUGUGAAUCUAUCACAGUUUAUUCAUUUCCCUGCUUAAGGACAUUUGUAUUGUUUUAAGUUGGCACUAUCACAAAUAAUGCUGUCAUGAACAUUUUUAACUAUGCCUUUAGGUACACAUAUGUCCAUUUUUCCUUGGAAUAUACAACUGGGGAAAGAACUGCUGUAUCAGAAUCCCUGCUGAUACUCAAUUUUAGAAGACAAUGCCAAUAUUUUCCAAAUAGAAAGUACUAACAUGUGCUUCACCAAAUUUAUAUUUCCUCUGGCAAUGUCUUUUAUACAUUUCUUAUACUGCUUUUAUUAGCUAGAGUUGCACAUAAGAACUUCACAAAACAUGCAAAACCUGGGGAGGAAUGUUCCAGGUUGAAACAGCAAAGAGAAAGGCCCGAGGCAUUAUAUGAAUGCCUUGCAUUGACUAUUUACUAAGCUGGUAUUGAGUUUGUGUUUACAUAUACACAUACACAUCUAGACAGAUCAAUAGCCAGAAAUAAUAUUAGUUAAAUAUUUUUCCUUGCCAAUUUGAUGCCAGGUACUAUAUUAGGCAAAACCCCUAUAAAGUAGAUAUGAUUCAAAUUUAUUUAGAUUAAGAAACUUACAUUUAAUGGGACUGACGAUAAUUAAUAGCAAAGUAGACACUGAACCCAAGAUUAUCUGGCUCCAAAGACUGUGCUGUUCAUCAAUAUGCCACAUCAAUAUUGACUGUUUUUAAAGUCAAGGGAGGAGUUGAUGAAUUCACAAAUGGUAUUUGAAACAGAUUUUAUUAACUCCUAGAUGAUAUUAAGCAGAAGUAAACAUGUUCCAGAGUUCUUUCAUUUUUCCAAUAUCUGUGUAGAACAUCCUAGGCAGGAUGGUUGAUGUGUCAUUAAAAAGAGGGAACAUUCCAGGGAGUGGAGUACAUGACAAAUUGUUUGUGAAUACUCUUCAUUUACUGGUAGCUACUGAAGUUGCAUUCCAAUGGAGCUAAAAACAGUCUUAGGUAAUGAUGGCAACUCAUAUUCAUAAAAUACUUUACAUCACUAAAUCAUUACAGGUCAGAAUGCUGCUAGGUCAUAAAGAGCAUGUGUUUCUUCAUAAUAGUGUCACCUUCCUCUCCUCCUCCUUCGCCUCCUCCUCCUUUGCCUCCUCCUCCUCCUCCUCCUUCCCCUCCUCCUCCUUCUCCUCCUGUUCUUUUUCUCCUUCUUCCUCCUUCUCCUUGAAAGAUGCCACUUUUUCAGAGGGUGUGUAGAAAGGGAAUAUAAAUUUUCUUCGUGCUUGUAAUUUGUUUUAUUUCAUUCUUAAAGAUAAAUGCUAAAUUUUAAUCAGCAUAUCAAAAUUCUAUCCUGAUUUAGCCUGUAAGACUCUUCUUACACUUUAAGGCUGAUGUGUUUUGAUUGGUUGGCUAGUGUGGAAAGGUAUUUGACCUUGUGGCUGAUGUUAUGUUGAUGGUUGUUUUUCAAUAUUUGAUUGGCAUAAAGUGUUACUGGUCCAGGCCCCCUGAUAAAUGGUUCAGGGAUGCUUUCUUGAAAUAAAGAGAAUUCCUUGCUUGGA